rnacentral:rRNA from 1 species
UACGUAGGGGGCAAGCGUUGUCCGGAUUUAUUGGGCGUAAAGAGCGUGUAGGCGGCCAAACAGGUCAGCUGUGAAAACUCGAGGCUCAACCUCGAGACGUCGGUUGAAACCGUUUGGCUAGAGUCCGGAAGAGGAGAGUGGAAUUCCCGGUGUAGCGGUGAAAUGCGCAGAUAUCGGGAAGAACACCCGUGGCGAAGGCAGAUCUCUGGGCCGUAACUGACGCUGAGGAGCGAAAGCGUGGGGAGCGAACAGG